rnacentral:rRNA from 1 species
GUACACGCUGUGACUAGCAUAUCAAUAAGCGGAGGAAAAGAAACUAACAAGGAUUCCCCUAGUAACGGCGAGUGAAGCGGGAAGAGCUCAAGUUUGAAAUCUUAAAGGGCUUCCCUUUACGAAUUGUAGUUUAAAGAAGUGUUUUCUGUUGAGGUUUUGGUAAAAGUUCUUUGGAAUAGGACAUCAUAGAGGGUGAGAAUCCCGUAUUUGACCUUUACUUUCAACUUUGUGAUACACUUUCAAAGAGUCGGAUUGUUUGGGAAUGCAGUCCAAAAUGGGUGGUAAAUUUCAUCUAAAGCUAAAUAUUGGCGAGAGACCGAUAGCGAACAAGUACCGUGAGGGAAAGAUGAAAAGAACUUUGAAAAGAGAGUUAAACAGUACGUGAAAUUGUCAAAAGGGAAGCGUUUGACACCAGUGUUGUUUUUCUGAAAAUCAAUUAAAGAACUGUUUAUGCUAAGUUGUUUAGACUUUAUCAGCUAACUGUUUAGUUUUGAGCUUUUCUUUAAUGCACUUUUCAGUUAACAAGUCAACAUCAAUUUCUUUUGCUGUAAAAAAGCUUGAGGAAGGUGGCUUGAGAUUCGUCUUAAGUGUUUAUAGCCUCUUGCCUAUGCAGUCGGAGAGAUUGAGGUCUGCAGCGUAGAUCCUUCGGGGCUAAUGCAUUUGUGCUAAGUUAUAGCAUUUUAUAGACAACUUGUUGACUAUGAUUUGUCUUGUAGCUUACUCGCUUAUGUUAUUUUACCUACGCUUAGGAUGUUGAAGUCAUCGUAUCGCGC